CCACUUUUUAAAAUGUGAUUACUAGAAAAUUUCAAAUUACACAUGUGGCUCACAUUAUAUUUCUAUUGGACAAUGCUGCUCUAAAACCCUGAGAAAAUCUUGAGAACAAGGUGGGGAAAAGGACAUUCAGGCAAGUUACAGGUAAGGAAGAACUGAGGACAACUGGACUGUUCAUCAUUCCUUUAAAGUAUUUAAUUCAUCAACAAUACACUAGCUGAUCCACAUCCAUUUAAUGAUCUUCACAUUAAACCUUUUUCUCUGCAUCUCAACUUCACAAAAGACAAAAUUUUCAAAUAUCUGACCAAGCAAUAGGUGUUUGGUGAUGUUUAAUACAGUAACACACCACAAAGGUUCAUAUAAUAAAAAUGUUAAGUGGCCGAAUUAAAAACCUAUUUCAUCAAAAUUAGAAAUGGCAAAACUUAUCUUGCACGCAGCAUGUUUUCCUGCUUGCCUUCUAGCCCAGCUGAUAGUAACGUGGCCUGCAGUACACCAAAGUGCCCAGUCACUUGCAAUCUAAUUCAAUACACAUCAGGUACACAAACUCCUACUUUCAGAAAAGAAUGGUUUCGGUUUUUAUGGUCUAAAUUUUACGCAAUGAAUAAAAUUUAAAUCUCUUCAUCCAUAAACUACUGCAGCUCAGGAUCCUUGGCAUCAGAUGGUAGUGAUAAAAACCGGGUAUUGGGGUGCUGCCAGUGGAGAAAAGUGGAAAAAGUCAGAGGUCAGCAAUAAGGGGAGGCUAGCAGGAGAAAGAGAGAUUAAAGAGAAACCUAAGAAGGUGAAAAAAAGAAAAGUUAGAGGGGCAGAGGAAAUAAAAUGUAGAAGAGAUGAGAAAACAUUCAACUGGAUAGUAGAAGGGGAAAGCCGUGAGGAGGGUGGAAAGAAGAAAGACAAAAGUCAUAUCCAUUUUAAAUGUGAGUAAACUAAGGUCCACAAAGAGGUCAGGAAAUUAGCCCAAUGUCACCCAAUUGGUCAACAAAGGUGCCAGGACAAGAAGCCUCCCAGUUUCUGAGUCAGUGCCUUUUUGUGUUAUGCCAAGCAGAGACCAAGAGAGAACAUGCUGGGGAUCGGCAGGAGGAGGCUGACAAAAGGCAGGACCAAAGGCUUAGCAAGUGAGGCGUGGUGGAGAUCCAGCAGGAGAGCUGAUGACUACCAGAAUGUCCUGACUGCAAGGAACAUGUACUAUGGACCCAUCAGAAGUGAGCUCAUUUUCUAAACAUCUGUGUUGCCAACAGGCACACACCUACAGUUUCCUCCUAUGGCCACCUGUGGAUCACCCUGACCUUAAAGGCUGGUAGCCAAAGUUCUGCUUCCAGCCCCCUAUCUGUAAGGUGACAUUUUUCAGUCUUGAUGGAUAAAUGUUAAAAUCACAACCAAGAUUUUCAAAGGAAAAUGUUACUGUAUUGUCAAACUUUUUCUCUACAGGCUAAAAUAAGAAUAAAUGAAUACUGAGAAAAGCUACUUUUUACUUUUGCAUAAUAUCUUCAAUGAUCUUUUUUUAAAAGUGUAUAGAAUUUGGAAGUCUUUUUCCCAAGACUUAACUCUUUAAAAAAAAAAAAGUCUAACUUAGGGAAACAAAGCUAAAAUGCUAGUUAGGAAAAACAGAAUCUUGUUCAGAUUCCACAACUUACAACGAUGCUAAAUACACACCUUCUUUGUUUUUGUUUUUUCUACUACUGAUCCCAUAAGUAUUGGUAUACAGGUCUUUUUUAAGAGGAUAUAACGAUUUAUUUAAAACUUUCUAGCUAGAAUUUGCUUAUCUGAAGCUGUACUAAGCUGGUUCAAGAGAAAUACCUUUACACCACAAGUAUGUUAUUUUACCACAAAACAUGAAAAUAACUGUACUCCCCCCAGUGGCCACACUGUGGCCACACAACACCUUGCUCCUGGAUUACCAAUGAAGAUGUGACAAAACUAAGUUCUGAUUAUUUAAAAAUCAUGAAAAGAUUUUAUAACCUCAUUACAAAGAAUUUCAUAACACCCACCAGAAUUCUUCUAUAGUGAAGAACUUAGGUGCAUUUCUGCAUUUUCAAGGCCCCUCAUGACAAAGGGAACAUGUAAAAGACCAUGGCUCACCUGAAACAAAUGUUUUCAUUUAGAGCCAAAUGGCUCUCACCAUCUACACUAAAGCACAUGAAGUGUUUCUUCUCCUAAAUGGAAUCACUUAUAACUCACUGUUUAUGAAAACAACCCCAAAGGGACUGACUUUUUAUUCAAAACCAAGAUAAAAGUCCUCUUGCUACCAUUCUUGGGUUUCUCAAACAUUUGUAGUUUAACUGCUCAUUGGGCAAUGGUUAUAUAGUGUACUCAAGUUCCAGUGUUUCAUAAUAUCCUCAUAUAAUCUCAAAAUUCUGAACAAGACAGCUAGUGGCUGGCAAUUUCACUGACCUGCGAGGGAAUAACCAAAUGCAAACAGAUCUUCCUGCAGGAACAGCAGAGGAAAAACAAGGGAGGGUCUCCUGAGGUCAGAGGCCCAGCUUAACGUGACUCUCGCAAAGAUAAACUGCUUUGAAGACUUCUCAUUUAUCUUUAAAAUUCACACAUUUCGUAGUCUAUUCUGAUAAGUCUAUUUUUUUUAAUGAGGAAAAAAAAAAAA